rnacentral:lncRNA from 1 species
AUUUCAUUCUAUAUAAAGUGUAUAUACAAUUUCGAAAGUAUGCAAAAAGGUACGAGCUUUAGAAACAAGACAAAAUGCGAUGCUCGCCGAACUUUUCUCUGCUUUCACACACACAUAUAUAUAUAUAGCGAGUAAAAACACAUACUUUCAAGCAGUGUGCAUAUAUUGUAUAUAUAUAAAUGCUUUUACACAAUUGUGGUCUAUUCAAAUGUUUUCCGUAAUUAGAUAAGACCAUAUUGUCGGGACUUAUACCGACACUGUGACGUACGGCUUUCAACAUUGAUAAAAACGCAUAUAUAUAUACCGUAUAUAUAAAAAUAAGGAUAUGUGGUAUGAUUGCUAAUGAGACAACUAUAUCAACCAAAGUUCAAAUCCAGUGGAUUUAAGCAUUUACAGGCAAUCGUAUGGCCUUCAACAAUGAGAACACCCAUACCGUACAAUCGGCUUUAUAAGCGGCUGCGACUUGAAACUAUGAACAAUUCAAUUGAGAAAACAAAAGGUCUAUAACUUAUAAAAAAACAAUUUACCUAAAACAAAUAUGAUAGACAUAAACCAAUUACAACUACACAUGCUCCUGACUUCGAUUAGGCACAUAAAGAAUGUGGCGGAAUUAAACAUAGUUGUAAGCAUUCAACCCUCCCCUACCUGGGAUAUAGUGGUGCAUGUAACAGCACAACAUAAAAAUAAACGUGGUAUAUGGAAAGCAAUAAACGACAACUAUUAAAUAUCAGGGUAAUGGCUUCGGACAUGUACAUAAAGAAUGUGAUGGAGUUACAACAUGAUUUAUAAGAUCCAAACACUCUCACACUAACC